rnacentral:rRNA from 1 species
CAGUCGAACGAAGCACUUUAUUUGAUUUCCUUCGGGACUGAUUAUUUUGUGACUGAGUGGCGGACGGGUGAGUAACGCGUGGGUAACCUGCCUUGUACAGGGGGAUAACAGUUGGAAACGGCUGCUAAUACCGCAUAAGCGCACGGCAUCGCAUGAUGCAGUGUGAAAAACUCCGGUGGUAUAAGAUGGACCCGCGUUGGAUUAGCUAGUUGGUGAGGUAACGGCCCACCAAGGCGACGAUCCAUAGCCGACCUGAGAGGGUGACCGGCCACAUUGGGACUGAGACACGGCCCAAACUCCUACGGGAGGCAGCAGUGGGGAAUAUUGCACAAUGGGCGAAAGCCUGAUGCAGCGACGCCGCGUGAGCGAAGAAGUAUUUCGGUAUGUAAAGCUCUAUCAGCAGGGAAGAUAAUGACGGUACCUGACUAAGAAGCACCGGCUAAAUACGUGCCAGCAGCCGCGGUAAUACGUAUGGUGCAAGCGUUAUCCGGAUUUACUGGGUGUAAAGGGAGCGCAGGCGGUGCGGCAAGUCUGAUGUGAAAGCCCGGGGCUCAACCCCGGUACUGCAUUGGAAACUAUCGUACUAGAGUGUCGGAGGGGUAAGCGGAAUUCCUAGUGUAGCGGUGAAAUGCGUAGAUAUUAGGAGGAACACCAGUGGCGAAGGCGGCUUACUGGACGAUAACUGACGCUGAGGCUCGAAAGCGUGGGGAGCAAACAGGAUUAGAUACCCUGGUAGUCCACGC